AUUGAACGCUGGCGGCAGGCCUAACACAUGCAAGUCGAGCGGGGUUUUCGGACCUAGCGGCGGACGGGUGAGUAAUGCGUAGGAAGCUGCCCGAUAGAGGGGGAUACCAGUUGGAAACGACUGUUAAUACCGCAUGAUGUCUACGGACCAAAGUGUGGGACCUUCGGGCCACAUGCUAUCGGAUGCGCCUACGUGGGAUUAGCUAGUUGGUGAGGUAAUGGCUCACCAAGGCGACGAUCUCUAGCUGGUUUGAGAGGAUGAUCAGCCACACUGGAACUGGGACACGGUCCAGACUCCGACGGGAGGCAGCAGUGGGGAAUAUUGGACAAUGGGGGCAAGCCUGAUCCAGCCAUGCCGCGUGUGUGAAGAAGGCCUUCGGGUUGUAAAGCACUUUCAGCGAGGAGGAAGGGUGGUGUGUUAAUAGCACAUCAUUUUGACGUUACUCGCAGAAGAAGCACCGGCUAACUCUGUGCCAGCAGCCGCCGUAA
rnacentral:rRNA from 1 species